rnacentral:rRNA from 1 species
AGAGCGAACGCUGGCGGCAGGCCUAACACAUGCAAGUCGAACGAACUCUUCGGAGUUAGUGGCGGACGGGUGAGUAACACGUGGGAACGUGCCUUUAGGUUCGGAAUAACUCAGGGAAACUUGUGCUAAUACCGAAUGUGCCCUUCGGGGGAAAGAUUUAUCGCCUUUAGAGCGGCCCGCGUCUGAUUAGCUAGUUGGUGAGGUAAUGGCUCACCAAGGCGACGAUCAGUAGCUGGUCUGAGAGGAUGAUCAGCCACAUUGGGACUGAGACACGGCCCAAACUCCUACGGGAGGCAGCAGUGGGGAAUCUUGCGCAAUGGGCGAAAGCCUGACGCAGCCAUGCCGCGUGAAUGAUGAAGGUCUUAGGAUUGUAAAAUUCUUUCACCGGGGACGAUAAUGACGGUACCCGGAGAAGAAGCCCCGGCUAACUUCGUGCCAGCAGCCGCGGUAAUACGAAGGGGGCUAGCGUUGCUCGGAAUUACUGGGCGUAAAGGGAGCGUAGGCGGACAUUUAAGUCAGGGGUGAAAUCCCGGGGCUCAACCUCGGAAUUGCCUUUGAUACUGGGUGUCUUGAGUAUGAGAGAGGUGUGUGGAACUCCGAGUGUAGAGGUGAAAUUCGUAGAUAUUCGGAAGAACACCAGUGGCGAAGGCGACACACUGGCUCAUUACUGACGCUGAGGCUCGAAAGCGUGGGGAGCAAACAGGAUUAGAUACCCUGGUAGUCCACGCCGUAAACGAUGAUUGCUAGUUGUCGGGAUGCAUGCAUUUCGGUGACGCAGCUAACGC